rnacentral:lncRNA from 1 species
AUCCAAUGUCUUCAGGUCGGCUGACCUUUCAAGAGAAGCAGGAAAUCUGUGUUUGGAGAAGACAGCUGCCCAUGAACCAGGAAGUGGGCCUUCACCAGACAGCAAUCUGCCAGCACCUUCUUCUUGGACUUCCCAGCCUCCAGAAUCUGAGCAGGAAGAGAAGUCAGGCUGGCAUCAGCCACACCUUGCCCUGAAACCUCGAGGGACACUGCCUUCUUGGAUUCUACGCACAGGCAAUACCGCCGCAGAAGCAGCCCCCUCCGUGCAGCCCCACUUCCCCCGUGAUCUGGGUGGCAAUUAAUUGCUAGCUGGAGAGACAUUUGUGCUUAACACCUCAACUGAGUCUGCCAAGAUAUUACUUGGUCCUCAAGUUAUUUAAAAUAAUGUAAUCAUAUUUGUUUUCAACAGAAAUCUGCUGUAUUCAGAAGUUUGAAAGCAGACUAAAAGAAGCCUCUGGGCUGGCUCGCUGCUGCUUUGAGCUCUGUUUGGAUUCCCUCAUAGAGACAGUCAUCUCAGCAUGAAGCGCACACAUUUGCUUUUCCCUGGUGCUUAUUAACUGAAGUCAAAUAAAUCACAAAAUAGAGAAAUUCUAUGCUGCAUUACAAUCAUGUCUAGGCUAUUGCUGGGUGGGAUUCGGACUCAUAAUUUAUUCAAGACUUCCCUUCCUGAGUCGACUUCAUGAGUCCACGCUCUUUCCUGCAUAGUUCUGUAAGCAACCCCAGACUCAAACCCUGCUCAAAGAAUGCUUUUUGGUUGAAUGAAUGAAUUUAAAUAAAUAAACAAACACCUGCC